AAACUUGAGUGCAGAAGAGGACAGUGGAACUCCAUGUGUAGCGGUGAAAUGCGUAGAUAUAUGGAAGAACACCAGUGGCGAAGGCGGCUGUCUGGUCUGUAACUGACGCUGAGGCUCGAAAGUAUGGGUAGCAAACAGGAUUAGAUACCCUGGUAGUCCAUACCGUAAACGAUGAAUGCUAAGUGUUGGAGGGUUUCCGCCCUUCAGUGCUGCAGCUAACGCAUUAAGCAUUCCGCCUGGGGAGUACGGCCGCAAGGCUGAAACUCAAAGGAAUUGACGGGGGCCCGCACAAGCGGUGGAGCAUGUGGUUUAAUUCGAAGCUACGCGAAGAACCUUACCAGGUCUUGACAUACUAUGCAAAUCUAAGAGAUUAGACGUUCCCUUCGGGGACAUGGAUACAGGUGGUGCAUGGUUGUCGUCAGCUCGUGUCGUGAGAUGUUGGGUUAAGUCCCGCAACGAGCGCAACCCUUAUUAUCAGUUGCCAGCAUUAAGUUGGGCACUCUGGUGAGACUGCCGGUGACAAACCGGAGGAAGGUGGGGAUGACGUCAAAUCAUCAUGCCCCUUAUGACCUGGGCUACACACGUGCUACAAUGGAUGGUACAACGAGUUGCGAACUCGCGAGAGUAAGCUAAUCUCUUAAAGCCAUUCUCAGUUCGGAUUGUAGGCUGCAACUCGCCUACAUGAAGUCGGAAUCGCUAGUAAUCGCGGAUCAGCAUGCCGCGGUGAAUACGUUCCCGGGCCUUGUACACACCGCCCGUCACACCAUGAGAGUUUGUAACACCCAAAGUCGGUGGGGUAACCUUUUAGGAACCAGCCGCCUAAGGUGGGACAGAUGAUUAGGGUGAAGUCGUAACAAGGUAGCCGUAGGAGAACCUGCGGCUGGAUCACCUCCUUUCUAAGGAA
rnacentral:rRNA from 2 species